UACGUAGGGGGCUAGCGUUAUCCGGAAUUACUGGGCGUAAAGGGUGCGUAGGUGGUUUCUUAAGUCAGAGGUGAAAGGCUACGGCUCAACCGUAGUAAGCCUUUGAAACUGGGGAACUUGAGUGCAGGAGAGGAGAGUGGAAUUCCUAGUGUAGCGGUGAAUGCGUAGAUAUUAGGAGGAACACCAGUUGCGAAGGCGGCUCUCUGGACUGUAACUGACACUGAGGCACGAAAGCGUGGGGAGCAAACAGG
rnacentral:rRNA from 1 species